GGACCGCAAUGUCAAAAUUGCUGUUCGGCCAUUGCUCGUGAAAAAACAAAUUUGUUUACAUAACAAAUCAUAUCUUUUGGUGACAAAUGCAUUCAUUGGCAAAAUAGCUGCUCGCGCUUUACUGUAGGCAGAUAUCUACAAUCAGCGGUCAAAUUAAAAACAGUGCAGAAGGAUGUUUUGAGUAUAUUUUACCUUCUAGCGGCGCAAUCAAUGCUUUUCUUUCCAAGCAAGCAGCGUUUUAUUCGGAAAAAGCAUGAAAUAGAAUCGUACGUGGUACGAAUUUAUCGGCACAAUCUGAUCAAGGACGGAGGCAUCAUCAAACGGAAACUACGCGAGAAACUUUUCGAAGAGAUAAAACUGCGCCGCAACACUCGUGUCAAACUGGACGAGUUGGGCUGGGUGCUGAUGAACCACGAUUUGAUAACACGUAAUGAGCCAAUCCAACAGCAUGCCAAUGGUAAUCGACCAAAUCAUUUUAAAUUCAACAUGGAGCGGUUGCCUACUGGAGCAGCACGAACAGAACAAUCACGCUGAGUUGACUUCCGAAAAGCAAAACAAAUUCCUGCGUAUGCUGGAUGCAAUUUUACAAAACGACAAAGUUUUCAAGGAAAUUAAAGAGAUGGUAGUGGCGAAUCGACUUCAAUCGGAAAUUCGUUAUGUGACUGCGGUGGAACGUAUGCUGAAACACAAUUUGGACCCCACUUUGCGCUGCUGCUUUGUAUGCUGAGAGUAUUUCCGCACUGCCGAUGAGUAUACCAGUCAUUUCGAAAAAUUGUACGGUGAGAAAUUUCUUAUUGUUGCGGCGGUGGAUCGAUUUCAGACUAGUCAAAAGUUCAACGUUCUACAUCACUACAAUGCCCUCAAUCCGGUGACAAUAUUCACGAUUUGCAACGUAUACCACACAGCCCUAAUAAAAAAAAACAAGAAAAGACGGGUCUAAUAUUUUACAAUAAAGAACAAAUCUAUCACUUUCCACGAAAUCCGGAGAACCACUAUAUCGGUUCGACAUGGAAUGGCUGAUACAUAUAAGGCAGAAAAAAGGUUUAACUUUGGAA